rnacentral:rRNA from 1 species
UGGGGAAUUUUGGACAAUGGGGGCAACCCUGAUCCAGCCAUGCCGCGUGAGUGAAGAAGGCCUUCGGGUUGUAAAGCUCUUUCGGCCGGAACGAAAUCGCUCGGGUGAACAAUCCGAGUGGAUGACGGUACCGGAAGAAGAAGCACCGGCUAACUACGUGCCAGCAGCCGCGGUAAUACGUAGGGUGCGAGCGUUAAUCGGAAUUACUGGGCGUAAAGCGUGCGCAGGCGGCUCUUCAAGUCAGGUGUGA